GCGAUAUAAAUAAAAACUUUAGUGGCUAUGUUGCUUUUGUUAUUGUACCAAGUUAACUAAAGCUUCUGGGAGAGUAUCUUCUACUACUAUGAAGAUCAUUUUCGACUUCACCGUUAGGAGUUCCUCCAUAUAGAAGCUAUGGUGGUCGAGAUGGUAAAUGUUUACACACACUUGAUGUUUACACCAAACUACGUUAAUUUUACCAUAGCUAAAUGAUAAGUUGAGAUGAGGAUGUGUUGAUCAACUAUGGAUUAGUGGUAACGUUGUGUGACGUGUUAUGUAUUUAUCAACUAUGGAUUAGUGGUAAAAUUCAGAUAUACAUGAACUUCACAAGAAAAGUUCUGAGACUUCUCCAGGCAUUUUUUUUUCUUUUAGAAAAGAAUGGAUAAAUCUCUUUCUGCAUUAUGUUGAUCUACAAAUUUUGUCCGCGAAUUCCAAGUCCCAUAGCAAGCAUUUCCUCCUCAUCCGAUCUGGCUCUGCUCGUAGAAGAAGUAUCAUCAUUCGGUCUUUGACCUCUAGAAAAACCAGGUCGUCUCCUUGCAUUCACGUUCCGAUUUAAUCUAACACCCAUUCCCGUUAAUUCUUCUUCGUGGACCCCUGCACCACCCCCAGCUGCCGUUCUUUCUUCAGUCCUCCACCCGCAGCUGCAGUUCCACUGCCUCCCAGGGCUCUGAAGAUAAAAAACAUUUCAAGAUUUGAUAAAAUUGUACUAUAAUUUGUAAGAUCUUCCAGUUCAAAUGACUUACCGAAGGAGGUACAUAUUUACUUCUGUCAAGUGACGAAUCAUGAAGUCUUUAUUCUGCUCAAUUGUACGCUUCAAUUGUUUAUUUUUUCUCUUCAAGCUUUUAUAGCUUUUUUUACUUUGAGCGUGUCUUCGUUCUGCUCUUGCAAUUCGUAGAAGUCUCGCAUAUUCUCUUUCAGCUUCUGCUUUUUCUUUGAAUUCAGUAUAAACUUGUCUCAAUUCACGAACAUCAAAAGAACGGUUGAGUUCCUCAAACUCAGAUUUCUUCUCCGGUGGAGUAAAAUCACAGCCCAAGCAUCUGUUUCUUUUCCCUUUCAUUGCCUGACAUGCCCCACAAAUAAUUUCGACUGCAUUCUCUCUCAAAGAGUUGAGAUUCUCUGGAUUUGCAGAAGCCCUCUCCAUGGCUACGAUCGAUGAUUCUUGACUAUUCUUUGUUUUAAAUGAAGUAAAAUGAUGAGAAUGGUUAAAGCUGAUAACUUAUUUAUAGUUUAUAGAUAACGGUUGUUCGUUUUAAGUUUGUAGCUAACUGUAAAAAUAAGUUACAAAAUUAAAUUUAAGUAUAGAUUGAAAAAAAAAUAUAAAAUUAUUUUUUCUUCUGAAAAAUAAAAUAGAAUAAUAUGUUUGAGCCUAAAGGUAAUGCGAUAUAUAUAAUAAUUUUUUUUGAUUAAAAAAACCCAAUAAUUACAGAAAUACCCUUCACUCUCUCCGCCGAUUUUCUCUCUUCUCGCCAAACUCCGGUGAGACAACCAAAUCCACUGGCUUCCUCUAUUCCCCAGCCGAGACCACCAACGAAUCCCCAUCAUCUUUACCCUGAACGGAAAACCCUAGCCGCCGUCCUCGCUCCUCCUUUCCCUUAUCUCCUCGUCUACCUCCAAACAGAACCACCGUGAAACCACCAAAGACAACGAAACGCGGCCUUCUUUCUUGCUUUUCUCCGUUGACAGCCACCAUUGAAACCCCCAACAUAUGAUUUCGUUUCUUCGUCUUCACUAUAUCGUCAACGAACAAGACCCCUCCACUAUUGCGUCGUCCUCAACAACGAACCAGGCAAACCAGCCGUAGGGAACUCCGAUACAGUGGGUUUUCUACUCGAUUGUAUUUCAAUACUCUUUUGUUAGCUCUCUAGAUUCAGAAUCGAAAUAGCCAUUUUAAGGUUAAAAAAAUCACUUCUCUUACUUUUUUGUAUUUACUCAUCUCAUAGAUCGAAAAGUUCUGUACAAAUUCUUGAUUGUAUUCACUAGGUUAGUUUAUUUAUUUGCUGUUUGUAUAGAUGCAUGGAGGUAGAAUUAGGUUAAUUUGAUUCUUCUUUUGUGGUUGAAAAGUUUGAAAUUAUCAAAUUUGCUAAAUAAUGAACUGCAUUAGUCCUACCCUUUUCGUGUAUUUUGUGGUAGAAUUAGGCUUACUUUAUGGUACUUUUCAUGGCUUAGUUGUCUAUGCUGGUAUUUGCCAAAUAAGGAACUGGAUUAGCUUACUCCGAGUAUUUCGGUUUAAGGCCUGGACUAUGGUCUGAAAUCUGCAACUUUUGUUGAUGGAGUAAAAUAAGUAGUACUAUAGUUUAACAUCCAGAGAAUUCAAUUGAUUCGGUCGUCUUAUAGCCGAACUAGUACAUAUACCCUUCUUUGAGACUUGUGCACAUUAGCUGUUCAACUGGCGAAGUCUAGACAUGGAGUCCCAAAGACUGUAAAUAUUCUUCUCUGUUGUGGUAGACUGGUAGUAAUUCUAAAUCUCAUUUCUUUAAUUUGGCAGAAAAAAUGUUAUUUAGUUCCAGUCUUAUUAGAGAAGUUCUUUCCCUGAGGGCACCGGAUAUCUCCAAUAUAGUAAUCAAAGUGACACAUUAGGUCGACCAGAGAAAAUUUAGUGGCCAGAUAUAAACCUAUCUAUUCUCAUUCUAACUCCGAGACUCAUUUCAUUUUAAUUUUGUGACUACACUAUAUCGAGACUUAGCUGCCCUACUGCUAAAUAUUUGAACCUUUUUUCUACUAAACUGGAUGCAGGAAAUUCCACGAGUCAAUAGCAUCUAUAUCCUGAAAUGAUAAUUGCAGCGAGUCAGCAUCAAAUCUUGGUCUGUUAACGCACUUAGAUAUCCACUCUUUUUUUUGUGAUGUGUUAGCGAUUUUCUAUGUGAUGUUCAACACUAAAGAGUUCAAAAAUUUGAUUGUUGCUUUUCUUAGCUUCUUCAAGCUGAACAAGAAUUGUUUUACACCUUCACGGGCAGGUUCAGCUAAAGGCAAAACAGAAGAUGUUGAAGCUUUCAAAAGAGACCUCCAGAAUAAGCUAACUCAGAUAGUUUCUCAGAUCACUAAAGAAGAAGAGGAAUACCGAGUUGAACAGAAUAUUCAUCGGCAGGCAAGUCAUUGUGUUUUUGUUAGACCAGUCUAUUCUCAUACCUUUGUCGUGUUGAUGUUGUCUGGUGUUUUUCAGGUUGAAGAAGAAUUGAUUAUUUUGGAAAGUAAAGCAUCACCGGUAGAGGGAAUCACAAAAGAAAAUAUGGAAACAAGAGUUAGCCAGAUAUCCUUGAAUUUGUGUUUUUUGCUCUUCUGCUACUUAGGAAAUUUGUUGCUAUCUGAACCAAAAUUCCUGCCAUAGUAGAGAAUGCUAAGCAUUUCCAGAAGGUAAAAAGAACUUCUAUCCAAGUACCUUUACACACGAAGUUGCAAAAUCCUAAACUGCUUCAGCUUGUAUAUUCAUAGGGAUAUUCAUGUCUGGGGCUUAUCUAAUUGUUUGACAAUGGACAUGAACCUCCUAUUGUGGAGGUUGAGAAUUAGAGUGGAGGGUCAAUAGGUAGUUGGGCGUAUUGCUUUUCUUUUCUCUCUGUUGUUCCUUUAGCCUCUGCUAUCUUAUUAUCUUCUUGUUGUUUCUGCUUGUUGCUACUUUCUCUUUUUUAUCAUUUUUAGUAUCGAUGGUCUAUUGGAAAUAACUUCUCUACCUUCCCAAGGUAGGAUUAUAGUCUGUGUGCACUCUACCUUCCCAACGCAGGUGUAGAGCUAACUUUUAUAGUUCAUUUGCAUCCUUUGGCACUCUUCCUCUGUCCAUUCUGUUUUUUUUUUUAUUAAGACAACUAGCAAUUGAUCUUGAAGCAUCCCAACAAUAUUAACUCUUUUGCUAUCAACAAUAUCAGUACAACAAUAUUAACUCUUUUGGUCGUUUUGGGGUGUUGUAUGUCUAUUUUUUUUUUCCUUUCUUGUGUUCUUUGGCUCUUUUUUGUUUAGUUUAUUCUCUUGGGUCUACUCUGUUAUUUUGCACCUUCACAUAAUCUUGUUUUGUCUACUUAUGUUUUGUGAAUAAUUCCGUGUAGGUGUACUAUGUUGCUCAUAACAAAAAUUCUUGUGUUUAUCUCGAUGAUAUAUUAACAAAUAAUAAUUAGUAAUUAAUUUACUUUUUAAGUGAGCUAUCAAUUUUGAUUUGCAAGUUACAAUCACUUUAAUAGAAUAAAAAAAAUUCGAUCAUUACUUAUUCUAUCUAUUUUGUCAAUAUAUGUUAUUUCUUAAUUUCUAUUACUCUUCAAAUCUCAGAUCAUAUCAGUAAAUACAAAUGUGUUUGAGCACUCAAAAAAGUACUAUUCAAUUGUAUUUUGUUUAAUAUAAUUUGACAAAAUGAGAUUUGAAAAGUAAUUACUCAAAAUAAUAUCGUUUUUGUUAUGAAAAAUUGUAUAGGUUUAGAAAAACUUUGAUGAAAUAUGCUUUCUUCUAUCUCCUUUUAUGAAUCUUCCUUUCAGGGUUAAAAGAUUUUUUCAAGUUCCUUACUUUAACUUCUUUAAGCAAAUAAUAUGUUGCCUUUUCAAAACUCUUCAAGAGUUUCAAUUAUAGUUAUCAACUUGCAUAACAAUACUUGUAUAUGCUCUAUGCAUUUUGAAUCCAUUUAAUCCUUAUGAGGAUGAUAAACAAGUUUUUCAAAACCUUGUAUAUGCUAGAUUUCGAACCCAUUGGAUAUUUUCAUAUUAGUUUUGUCAAGUGACAACAUUCAAUAUUAGAUGUAUGACAUCUUCUAAUGCCUAAAUUGCAAGUCAAUUAAGCUUUAUGCUUAUCAAGAUGCACCAUUCCACUUUUCACUUGAUAAUUAUUUCUGCACCAACAUGCUUUAAUAGUCAUAGAAUUUAUAUCAUAAUAAAUUUUUUCAAUAUUGCGUGCUAUUGUAUCAAAGAUACCGUCAACGAUAUAUCAUUUUGCAUUGAUUCACAAUACGACAUAACUUCUCAGGAGGUUUCAUAAAGUGUUAUGUCGUAGGCUCUCCAAGAGCACAUUAUCUUCUUAUUAUGAUCAUUUUAAUUCUUUCAUCCUCUUCCUUUUUCAAAGAUUAUUUUAUUUAGAAUUGAUUAGUCUAUCAUGCUUCAUGCAUGUCGUAGACUCUAUUUUAAGGGACAUUCAAUAGGAGUAUUUACAACUUUUGUGUUGCUACUAAUCUCCCCCUUAUGUUAGACAAACUAACAUAUAUCUCAAUUUUUGCAGAAUCUAUCCUUGUGCAUCAAUGUAUAUUCAUUGAUUAUAUACCACAUAUUAACAUAAUCAGAUAAAAAUUAUUUGGUCCUCGACCAUAAAUCAAUUGAAAGAAAAUUUGAUCAUAAUUUAUCGGUCUGAUGCGUACAAUUACUUUUGUAUGCAAUAUCGUAUUUCAUAUCGACAUAUGAAGCUUUAUUUUCGUAAACAGUAAUUUUACUAUUUGAGACAUUUAGUGUCACAUCAUCUUGAGUAUUUAUCAAUAUUAUCAAGAUAAAUUGUCUUGAUUACAUAUUCUGAAAUUGUGCUCUUAACUCAAUUAUUUUUGCACAAAUAAUUUUGUGAAUGUCAAACUACAUGUUGACAACAAAUGCACAUGUGAUUAUCUUAUAAAUAUAUCUUUUUAUCAUGUCACAUGAUAGGUGAACGGGCUCAUAUUCACCUUUUAUACUUUUCAGAAUUUAGAGAUUUAAUCUCAACAUUAGUUGAUCCAAUCAAUUUGUCAUGAGAACAAACAACAAAAGAAUUCUUGAAGAAUCUUCUAGUUUUUUAAUGUAUGUCCAUUACUCAGUAUGCACAUCUUUGGGAUGACCAAAUUAUUCAUGCCAACUAAUAAAAUUAUUAGUACUUGUAAACUCCAAGUUUACUAGGCCAUGUGCCUUUUGCUUUAUUAAAUUUCUGAUUUACUAUUAUAUGACUAAAUUUCAAUUUUAUUACUCCUAAAGUAAUUAUCAGAUUUAUUUCUUCUCAAUUACGUUAUCCUUUAGGUGAGUCGUGAUCCCAUCAUUGAAUGAACUAAUCUGAAGAAAAUUGUGCAUGUCACAUAUUAUUUGUGCCAACAUUUUUGCAAACAUCAAGUUGCGAGAUAAUAAUAGACAUACAUGAGACCAUACAAAAGAAACAUUUGUUAGGACCGUUAAAUAUCUAAACGAUUCACUUGGUGGAUGACUAGGUCCACAAAUAUCUGUAUACGUUCCUAUAACGCAAAAAAUUCAAGCUCAACUUUCGUUUAUGGUGGUCUCACAAUUAGCUUGCCUUGCUAACAAGUAGUAUAAGAAAUUUCACCAUUUAAAAGAAUUUUUAGUUUCUUCCAUUAAAGUCCAUUUUAAUUUUCCAUAAUUCGUCUAAACAUUAUAGACUAACGAUGUCCCAGACAAUCGUGUCAAACUAAGAAAGUAUUGGAAUUAGUAAACUUCUUAUUUAUCAUAGAACUAGUGAAUUUGACCGCGCUACGCGCGGGUUUAAUAUUCUGGUAAAAUUUUACUUUAUUUAGCAAAAUUACCCAAUUCCGGGUCGCGACUGGCACCCACAUUUACCCUCCUAUGUUAGCGAACCAACCAAAUCUAAACCUUAUCAUUUCAACAUAUAUCAACAGAAAGUAAUGCGGAAGACUUAAACUCAUAAGUAAAAUCAAUAAUCAACUUCUAUAACUCAAAACUUAUCAUUCCCCAAAAUCUGGAAGUCAUCAUCACAAGAACAUCUACUUCAAAUUACUAAAUCUAAGAGUAUUCUAAAAGCUAAAAAUACAUAAGAAGCUAGUCCAUGCCGGAAGUUCAAGGCAUCAAGACUUGAAGAAGAGAUCCAGUCCAAGCUAGAAGCGUUAGCUCACCCUGAAGAUCCGGUGUGACGAAGACUGGCUAGAAUUACUGUUGAGUUGAAGACGACGGCACGUUUGCUGCACUCCACAAAUAAACAAGAAGAAAACAUAAAAGUAGGGGUCAGUACAAAGCACGGGUACUGAGUAGAUAUCAUCGGCCAACUCAAAAUAGAAAACAGUAUAUACCAAGUAAUAUCAUAAAAUCAACUAUGAUACUCAACAUGUAGCAACAUCAAGUACUAUAUCAUUAACAAUUACCGUCAAGUUCACACAUGAGGACUCAAGCCUCAAUACCAUACUCAUUUGGGAAUUAGAUUCAAUAGAUUGAGUAUAUUAACAUCUUUCAAGAUUCAUUAUCUUUAUUUCUCUUGUGUCGGUACGUGACACUCCGCUCCCUCAUAUUCAUUAAUCCUCUUGUGUCGGUACGUGACACUCCGAUCCCCUAUUACUAGGUGUCGGAACGUGACAUUCCGAUCCCCUAAAUCUACGUGUCGAUUCGUGACACCGAUUUCCUAAAUCUACGUGUCGGUUCGUGACACCCGAUCCCCUAAAUCUACGUGUCGGUUCGUGACACCCGAUCCCCUAAAUCUACGUGUUGGUUCGUGACACCCGAUCCCCUAAAUCUACGUGUCGGUUCGUGACACCCGAUCCCCUAAAUCUACGUGUCGAUUCGUGACACCCGAUCCCCUAAUUCUACGUGUCGGUUCGUGACACCCGAUCCCCUAAUCUCAUUCUAUCAAUUCAUCAGCCUUCUCCCUUACCAAGGCAUCAUCAAUCUCAUUACUUUAGUUCAUCAAGCCUUAUCCCUUACCAAGGCAUCAUCAUUAAAAAGAGAUUAGGUUUUUAUCAAGAUUUGGGAUUCAAUAACUUCAUCAUGCUUAAUAUAAUCACAAUUAUAUAAUCACGUUCAUGCAUGCAUACAAUUAAGCACAUAGCAGGGUUUACAAUACUAUCAAUACAUAUCAUUCACUAUUAAGAGUUUACUACGAAUAACAUGAAAACCAUAACCUACCUCCACCGAAGAUUCGUGAUCAAGCAAGCAAUUUCCCAAGAUUUGUGUUUUUUCCUCUCGUUCGAUCCUCUCUCUCGUUCAACUUUCUCUCUCUUUCUCUUGUUCUUUCUAUUUUCUUUAUUCAAACCCUUUUUCUUUUAUCCUAAUUAGUAUAUAAUUAAGAAUAAAAGAUAGCGAUAAUAACCCACUAAUUAACUUAAGGUUACCUCUUUUAACCCCCAAGUAAUUAGAUUUAUUAACAUUAACCCACUAACUUUAUAAUUAAGGCAAGAAUAGUCAAAAACGUCCCUUAAAACGUAUCAAGAAAUCCGACCCAAACUGGGAUUGCGCAGUCUGUGACGGCUCGUCGCGCCUGCGACGGUCCGUCCUGCUGCCCGUCACAGAGUUCAGAGACUCAAUUUCUCUGAAGGGUCUGUGACGGUCCGUCACACCUGUGACGGUCCAUCCUGCCAUUCCGUCACGAAGUUCAGAGAGUCGAUUUUCAGUACCCAAUUUCAGAUUUUCUAAGUGUUUUGAAACGAGACCCUGCGACGGUCCGUCGUGCCCAUGACGGUCCGUCGUGGGGUCCGUCGCUUCUGCCAGUUUUUCCAGAAUUGAAGUCUGCUGCUCAAAACGACUAAACAGGUCGUUACAUUUUAUCUCUACAAAUUUACAAACCAUUAUUUUCUUUAAUUUCCACCUUUACAUAAACUUGGUAACUUUUCUUUUAUCUUUUAAAUAUUUGACGAUAUUGUUAUAUCUCAUGCACUUGUUAUUUGAAUUAUAACUAUAAAAUUUUCCGAGUAUAUACAUAUUCACAUACAUAACUUUUCUUAUUUUUAUUUUUUGUAAUUUUUUCUAUUUUAGAAGGUCAUGAAUAUUUCAUCCCGCAAACAUAGAAAAGGUGAAUGUCAAUUAUUAAAAAAUAUAUAAUCUUUGUAAGUUUUUGUGAUAGAAACAAAAAGAAUAAAAUGGACAUUUUAUUUUUAGUUGUAUUAAAUUUAAAUUUAUUUAAUUUUAUAUAGUUGCUUGUUUAAUUAUUAUUUUUCUCUAUAAUUAUAACAACCUAGUAUCCAUUUAUUGCUUCAAUGCACAAAUAAUUACAUGUAAAUAAGAAACUUUUACAAAUAUUUUCGUAAGCAAUUUCAAAAUAGAAUUCUUAGUCGUCCACCACGAUAUUGCUCCAUCUCUCAUAUUAUUUUUUCAUUAUAGUGUUUUAUAAAAAAUAAAAUACAAAAAGAGAUGAGCAUGAGUGUAUUUACUGAUUUGCAAAAAGAAAAUCACACUUGAAUGAAGCUUAUCUUGCUUAGUUGAUAAAUCUCUCUUUCUAAAUAUGUUAUCGCCGAUAAAAUUACAUUUUCAUAUAAUUUGUAGUGAAAAGAGUAAAUUGACCAUUGGAAGAAAAUUUUAAUUUACAAUGAACCAGUUAGAUGAGUAAUAAUUCUAAUCAAUAACGAAAAGUCAGUAACUUCGUAUUCUUAGUAACAUCAUAUAUCUAUGUGAUCUACAAUAAGAAAUUUAAACGACAAUCAUAUUUUCUUUAUUCACGGAAAACUAAUUAUUACGUAAUUACAAUUUAUAAACCUUAUAUACAAUUAAUAAUGAUAAGUCACUAUAUAACUUCUAGAAAUAUUUGUGUUGAAAAGUUAAAGUAUUAAUUUUUUUGGUAAAAUUUGGACACCAACCAAAAGAAUGGUAAAACAAUUGCUUACACAUCAUAUUUCAACUCCUCUCAUAAAUCAAUAAAGAGAUAAUAUCUAUAUAACUUGCAAACAAUUAACGUCUAAUUAGAGUAUUAUCUUCAUAAGAUAUAUAAAUUAAAUUUAUUGAGGUAAAUAAAAAGAAAGACAAAAAUUAAGAUAUCGUAAUACUAAAUUGAGAGAGAAUAAAGGAAGAGAUAUAAAAUGAACAAAUAGGGGUAAAAAUAAAAUAUCGCAGAAAGAAAAAUAGAGAAAUUGUGUUAAAAUUUUGAAGUAGUUCAUUUGAUAGUAAAAUUCUGAAACGUUGCAUUAUCUUUUUCAUCAAAGAGUUGCAAUUAAGUGGAUGCAUUUCUUUUUUCAUUAUUAUUGAAAUUUUGUAUCCAUAAUCAUUUUUUUCAUUAUAUAUAUAUAUAUAUAUAUAUAUAUAUAUAUAUAUAAACCCACCUUAAUAUUAUACCAUACAGAUUUAGAUUUAGGGAGAGACAUAUUGAAUAGAAUUAGAACUUAACUUCCUAAAACAAAAAUAAAAUCUUUUAAAAAAUUAAAUAACAUUGAUAAUAAUAAAAUAAUAAUAAUAAAAACUAUUGGCUUAUAUCAAAAAGCUUCAUGGUAAUAUCCUUAACAUAUAUACAUACGUUAAAAAUUUAAUCAAGAAUAGAUAAAAUAAACUCUUAGCUUACCUCUUUUGCUCUUCAUAAAAAAGCUUUAUAACAAUUAUCCUGUUUAAAAGGAUGCUAACAUAUAUACAUCAAAAAUAAAGAUCAUGGAUGGAUAAAACAAUAGGAAGAAGAUGAAAGAGAGAGAGAAAAAACUACAUGAAACCCUCCAAAAAGGUAUAAGAAGAUGUGAAAAAAUAAUGGGAUAAUGCCCAAGUACCCCCUCAACCUAUGCCCGAAAUCUCAGAGACACACUUAUACCAUACUGAGGUCCUAUUACCGUCCUGAACUUAUUUUAUUAAUAACUUUUUACCCCUUUUUAGUUUACGUGGCACUAUCUUGUGGGUCCAACGAUGGUUGACUUUCUUUUCGAACUAGUGCCACGUAGGCUAAAAAAGGGUAGAAAAUUAUAUAUAAAAUAAGUUCAGGGGGUAAUAGGUUCUUAGUAUAUUAUAAGUGUGUCUCUGAGAUUUCGGGCAUAGGUUGAGGGGGUGCUUAGGUAUUUUCCUAAAAAUAAUUACAUGAAACUCCAAGGAAAAUGUCUAAGAAGGUAUGAAUAAAUAGGGAAAUGAAAAGGAAAGUGGAUAAUUGUUUUUAAAGGUUAUUGAACAAAAAAUGAGAGAAAAAAAAAUUCUAAAAAUUAAAAUAAAAUAGUAUGCUGAUCAAUGAAGCAUGCCACAUCAACGUGAUUUUAUUCAGCUUUAUAUUAUAUAUAGAUUUGACUCAAUUGCAUUACUUCUUGUUCAAUACAAGCCCGAAGUUAAAACAUUAAACUUUUCUAUAAUACAUGUCUUCUUGUAGACAUUCUUGGUGAUACCACAUCAUUGACCAAGGUCGCAAUCUUUCUCAUGCCUAGCAUGGUGGCUUACACCUCAUUCCCUUUAGAGAUUGGAUCCAUAUUUUAGCAUUUAGCAGAAGUUCUCAUUCUUCAUGAAUGGAACACAAAGAAGUGAGCUUAUCAAAUUAUGAUAGCUAGUACCUUAUUCCAUAUUUUUGUGAAUUAUUCAAUCACUUGUCUUCUUUCAGACAUAUUAUGCACUAAUACAACAUUCACUUUUGUAAUGGAGUAAAUUCAGUAAAUUUCAUGACUCUUCAUCUAAAACACAUUAGUUUUUCUUUAGUCAUUAUUAUAUCAUCAAUAUGGUGUAUUAAGACUCAAAUACAAUGUCUUAUCCAUAUAAAAGUGUCUUAGAUCAUAAAUCGACGGGUCUUGAACCCAAUAUCUUAUCAUCAUAGUGUAUCAGGAGUUUAACCCAAUGUCUUACCCUCUUUGUGCGAUUAGAGAAAAAUCGAUCGUCUUAUUCUUUUGGUGCGAUAAAACUUAAAUCUAUCGUCUUACCCACAAUGAGGCUCAACCUCAAGCCUUCAAAAUAAUUUAAUUUUAUCACUUUUGAUGAUCAUUAAUAUGAUUGUAUAUUAUAAUUACACAUAAAACUGAGAAUAAUGAUUUCUUACAAUCAACACUAGCAGUUAAUAGAUAUAGUUUAAUAGAUCACGUACCUCAUGUUGAGAUUGAAAACAUAUCUUUCACUAAAUUGUGCUUAUUUAAUUACUAAAAUAAAUUAAGAAAUUCUCUUUCCAGUCGGUUAAAAUUAAACGUAUAGAAAGUCGACAAGUCUCUUUAAAUACUUACUUUAGAUGGUAUCUCCAAAUCUGUUACAUAAAUAAUUAUAAUGUAAAGAUAAAUCAUACCUUGAAGAUAUAAGAACCUUAUUGCAUAACUUAUGCAAGAUCUCUUUUGCACUUUUUUCCGUUUUUUUCCAUAAUUCUUAAAGAAUAGAAUAAUCGUGCUGAUAACGUGUUAUGAAAUUAUAUAAGUUUAGAAGAAGAAGAAAGUAGGGAGAAGAGAAAAGACUUCUUAUUUUCUCUUGAAGUAUAUUCAGGAUUCAUCGAUUUUUCACAAAUCUUAUUUACAAGGAAGGAAAACCCUUUAUUUAUAGGAAAACCUUACUUGGUCCCCAAGUAGGAUUCAUAACCAUUUCCUACAAAAACUCCACAUAAUUAGAGAUUCACUAUAAUACAAAUUGUUUAUAACAGUUUUUUUUAUUCUUUUUUACUCGAUUUUUAUAUUUUCCUCUUUUUAAUAAUUAUUGACAUUAUUUUAUUUUUUAAAACUCCUCCCUCUUCCUUUUCUUACUUUAGAUUUUUUUAAUGGGAAAUAAAUAUUGUAUUUCUUUUCUUAUUAUAUUAUUGCCAUUUAUUUUAUUUUCUCAAAUGCCUUUCUUCAUGUAUUCAUAUUCUUCGUUGAUGAUAUUAUUAUUAUUAAUAGAAACCAUUUUUAUAUCCAUUCAAAUACAAUAACAAAAUGAACCCUAAUUCAAGUGCCGUCAUUAUUUUUAUAAUUUCUUAAAAUGAAAUGACUCUUCAUUACUAACUUCAUUCAACCAAAAAUAAUAAAUAUUUUGUUGCAUUAUAUAUUACAUUUGAGACAUCAACCGUUUUUCUUCUUCAUUAUUUAAGUAUUUUAGAUAUUUAAUUUUUAUUCAUGUUCAUUAUUUCUUUUCACUUGAUAUUUUUAAUUUUUAUUCAUGUUCAUUACAUUUGAGACAUCAACCGAAUUUUUUGGUAUUUCAGUUUCGGUUUUUGAUUCGGUACUCGGUAUAUGUUUUUGUAUUUUUUGGUAUUCCGAUUCGGUUUUCGGUAUGUAAUUUUGUGUUAUUCGAUAUUUUGAUUUACCGAAAUAAAUUAUAUUAUAAUAUAUAUUUAUAUUUAUAUUAAUUAUUAAUAUUAAAUAAUAAGUAUUAUAAUUUAAAAUAAAAAGUAAAAAGUAAAAGAUGUUAUGAACCUAUAUAAAUUUAGAAGAAGAAAGUAGAGAGAAGAGAAAAGAUCUCUUAUUCACAGUAUAUUCAAAUCUUAUUUACAAUGAAGGAAAACCUUACUUGGUCCCAAGUAAGAUUCCUAACCAUAUCCUACUAGGACUCCACAUAGUUAGACAUUCACUGUAACACAAAUUGUUUAUAAGAAAAGACACUUUUUGAUGUAACUAUUUUUAGCCCAUUAAGCUGAAAAAUCAAUCCAAAAAAUUUGUAAAAUUUUUAAAAGCCCAACUAAGCAGGCCCAUUAAAAUAACCGAAAUAACAAAAUCGAACCGAGAUAAUAAAAAUCGAAUCGAAAUAAUAAAAAUCGAACCAAAUUAUUUCGAUUCGAUAUUGUAUACACAUUGUACAAGAACCGAAAACCGAAAAAAAACCCGAAACCGACUCGAAUUACCGAAUGCACACCCCUAUUCACGUGCACAACACAUGUUGAGAACUUGUAUAUUUAUAUAAAGGGAAAGUUUGAUUAUUUAUAUAACGAAUUAUUCGAAAAUUAUCGAGGUUAAUUAAACAUGAGCAUUCCUAUAAGAAUGUGGAAAGGAAUAUUUUAUUUUAAAAAAAUGUUGAAAGAAAUCCUUUUACAACUACAAAAACCAAAAAAAUAAAAAUAGUCCAAUCCUAGUAGGAAAUAAAUUUUGUUUCAACUAGGAGAUUGUAAUACAGUAGUUAUAAAUAAAAUCACUUGACGUAUUUUUUUUUUAAAUUAUAAGUUUUUUUUGUUCCAUCUUAAUUUGCUCUUUGUUUCUUGGCAUACCUAAUCUUGUUCAUGGAGGAAAUACUUGUGAACAUUUUGAGCAGGCUACCUGUGAAGUCAGUUAUUCGUUUCAAUUGCGUAUCAAAAUUUUGGAAUACAUUAAUCUCUCAGCCACACUUUAAGAAGAAUCAUCUUAAUCAUGCCAAAAAUCAAGCCAGGUCGCAAAAGUUACUUUGUUUCUACUGGCCUAAUAAGGAUGAUAAUAAUAAUCGUAUUCACUUCUAUUCGUAUUCUUUAUCGUUGGCUGAACCUGUUAAAGAUAUCGUCGUAGUUGAUUGCCCUUCAAAUUCGAAUCCAUCAUAUGGUGUUCAGAUCUAUUGUAGCUGUGAUGGCUUGUUUCUUAUCGGAAUUUGGACUGAACGUCAUGUUCCUCAACCUUCAUUAUUAUUGAUAUGGAAUCCGUCUACAAGAGAAUCUAUAGUACUUACCCAUUCAAAAUUCAACGGAUCUGAUGAAUUUCGAUGUACUUAUGGAUUGGGUUAUGACUCGAUUAGUGAUGACUAUAAAGUCUUUAGGUUUGUCAUGACCAAAAAUGGCCAAAACAAAAACGAAAUUUUCUCACUGAAAAACAGUUCAUGGAAAAUUAUCGAAGAGAACUCUUCAUUAGAUAGAAUGGAUUGUUCUAUGUAUUAUGGUGGUGAAUUUUUGCCAUUUGUUAAUGGUGCAUUUCAUUGGCUUGGUAUCUCAUCAAAGUCGAGUGUAGUUUCGUUUAAUAUUUGUGUAUACAGACAUACCAUUGCCAGAGAUCGUGUGUUAUCUCAUUAUAUUUAGGUACGGGUCCGAGCUCAUUGAAAUUGAAGUUGAUGUGGGCGUAUCAAUGGUGAAUGGAAUGCUUGGUCUUUAUUAUAAAGACGAAAGUUUUUUUAAUUUAUGGGUAAUGCAAGACAAGCCUGGCGAUACUCCUUGGAUGAAAUUGUUCACUAUACCAAGCUACGGAAUUGAUAGAGUCAUACCAACAUAUACGUUUUCAGAUCAUCAAAUGUUACUCUGUCUUCAAUUAGAUUCAACAACGUUAAGAUUCGGAGGAUAUAGGAUCAUAUCUGUUGGAUCAUUUGGAUUAAGCAAUCAAAUAUGGCCCGUAGAUGGUGAUGCAAACGAUGGUAUUGCUUAUACGGAAAGUCUUAUCUUUCCGAAACUAGGUCAAUAAACUAGUCAUCUAAAUAUUAUUGCUUUCAUUACAUAUUAGUAUAUAUAUUGUUAUUUCAAUAUUAUUCAUAAUUGUAGCCUACAUAUAAUGAAUGAAUGUUGAAGAAAAUGUUCUCCUAUUACAUUGAAGAAAGUAUUUUUCUUUCUUUCUAAUUGAAGAUAUAUAUAUGUGCAUGCUAUGUUUGUUUAAAACAAGUAUCAAGUCAGAAAAGCAAUAACAUACGUAGUCUAAUUUCACUAGUGAAAUCUGAGGAUGGUAGUGUGUACUAUACGUAGUCUUACCCGUAUCUUUAUGAAAGUAGAGAGACUCAUGUGUACUAUACGUAGUCUUACCCCUAUCUUUAUAAAAGUAGAGAGACUCUUUCCAAUAGACUCUAGUGAGAUCUGAGGAUGGUAGCGUGUACUAUACGUAGUCUUACACCUACCUUUAUGAAAGUAGAGAGACUCUUCCCAAUAGACUCUCAGUUCAAGUAAACAUAUAAAAAGAUCAAGAUUCUCAUUACCCCCUUGAACGCAUUUUAUAAAUAAUUUUCUACCCUAUUUCGACUUAUGUGACACUAGCUUGAAAAAAAAUAUCAAUACACGCUAGGCCCAGAAGAUAGUGUCACGUAAGCUGGAAAAGGGUAGAAAAUUAUUUAUAAAAUACGUUAAGGAGUUAAUAGGACCUUAGUAUAGUAUAAGUGUGUCUCUGAGAUUUUGGGCAUAGGUUAAGGCUACUUGUGCAUUUUCACUAAAGAAAAUACAAAAGAAAGAAGUCAUGGUGAAAACAACUAAUUAAUAGGAGAUCAGGUAGCAGCAACAACAACAAUAUAAUAUGUGAAUUGAAGCAAACUAAACAACAAAUAUGAUAAUAAAUGAACUAGACAAUGUUCGACUAUCUACUAAUUAAAUUCUACCCUAAUCCUCGACCUCCGAAGAGGAAGCAGCUCACCUUAAUCAUCAUCAAUACCCCCAAGAUUUGUAAUCAUCAAGUGUACUAUUAUCAAGAAACUGAUUUGAUGAAAGUUAAGAAACAAACAAGUGAGUGAGAUCUAAGUAGAGAAAAUUAAGCUAGACUCUCUCUUAUUUUGUUUUUUUAUUCGAUUGACUAGUUCAUUUCAAUUUAUUUUAAUUAAACCCCAAUUAAAAUAGAAAAAAUCAAAUGAAAAGAACUAGUCAAUUGGAAAAAAAAACAAAAUUUUGAGAGAUUCUAGCUUUAUUUUCUCUAUUAAAAGUAAGAUCUCACUCACUUGUUUCUUUACCGCAACAUGGUUGGAGGUCGAUGAUAAGGAUGGAAGGUAAUUAGUAGGUAGUCGAAUGUUGUCUAGUUCACUUAUCAAUAUUCGUUGUUUUCUUUGCUUCAAUUCACAUUAUUUUGUUGUUGUCAUCCUCUCGUUAUUUUAUACCGCUCUUUAACUUUGAUACAUGUUUUAAUUAUACCAUAUCUUCAAUUAGAAUUUUUAUUUUUGUAAGAAUCAUUCUAUACCAAAUUAAUCGGAUGGGCUGUUGGUUAUUAUGUUCUUUGUUUCUGGUAGAUCCUCAACUCAAAAGAAACGUAAAAGGCACGAUGACAAGGAUCAUAUAUGUCUCUUUAUUAUAAAAAAAAACAAGUAAUAUUUGCGUAAUAGAGAGAUUAAUUCUGGGUAGUUCAGGUGCGGUUGUUGAUCUUGCCACCAACAAACCUUUGACUUUGGCCGUGAAAAACUCUGAAUAGCCACAUAGUAGUUUCAAGUAGGAGUAAAAGUCACUUGCCGACUCUUAGAAAGAAGACUAUUUUUCUUUACUUAGGUAGUUCUCCUGAUCGUAAGACCCUUUAUGAUUAUAAGGUUAAUCGAAGGCUGGGGAAAGUUUAUUGACAAGAUGGAACCAUUUCUCACCCAUCUUUGAAUAGGAGAGAGGGCUUUUCUCUUAUCCCUCAAAUUAUAGGCAUUGAAGUCAGAGGCGGAGCUAGGUGGGGGUUCAUGGGUUCGGACGAACCCACUAGCUUUUUCAUAGACCAAACAAAUAUAUGUAUAUUAACAUGUGAACCCUCAAUCAAAACUGAUUUAGAACCCCUAAAGUCCUAACAUUGGCUCGGCCUGUGAUUGAAGUGAUCGAGAGAAAGUAAGAAUACUAUUGCACUCGCCCCCACUUGACCUUCAUUCCCAUCCUGCAGCCCUAGUGAUAGCGCGCGGCUUUAAUGUGAACGUACCCUCUAACUCAAAAGAAAUGUAACAUGUUCAAAAUUCAUUGUAUGUAGGCUAACUAUUAUGAUUUCAAAGAAAUGCAGGUCGCAAAGACGAGGAAAAAGCAAUAUGUCAACAACAUUUCGAUACCUAAAGAAGUUGUUGUUGAGAUAUUACGAAGAGUACCUUGCGAAGAGUUGUUUGAAACUAUAAAGAAAGUAUGUAUGCAGUGGUGUUCGAUUAUCUAUAGUGGAAGUUUUGCCUACUCACACGUUGAGUGCAGAAUAUUAAAAUCAUCAUCAUUUUUCUCACAAUAUGAAGCAGUUGUUUUUUAUCAGAUUGAUAAUACACGCUCCAUUUCAGUUUCUGCGUUGGAAUGGCAGAGUAGGCCUUUCCCAAACUAUCCUAAUGAAGAUUUAGAGACUAAAUACAUGUUUACAAUAGACGAUGUAUUGCAAUUCCAAGUACCACGAAUGAUAACAGUGAAUUCUGUGAAUGGUUUUGUUUGUUUUUGGAGUCGCAAUGCUCGUGUCCAUGUCUUGAAUCCUCUGACUGAAGAGCAUUUCACUACUCCACCAUAUACGUAUGAAAUUCGUUCUGUUACACCCCCCUGUCUUGCUGCAAUUGGGUUCGGGUUUUGCCAGCUUUCCUAUGAAUACAAGGUGGUUGUUCUUCAAGAAGAUGGCGAAGGAUUUGAGAUUAAACCAUUAGUUUUUACUGUUGGAACUGACCGUUCGUGGAGGUCUCUGAAAGCAAUACCUGAUAUAAAAUUUGGUACGAGAUUUGAGAAGGGUGUAUAUGUGAACGGGGUAUUGUAUUGGUACAUGGAUAGUUGUACUCGGCCACGUUGUGGGAGUAAUGAGAUCAUUACAUCCCUCAUAUGUUUCAAUGUAUCUAAAGAAGAAGUUGUUACGACUAUGGUUCCAGCUGAACUUGAUAUCAGAGAAGGAUAUGAAUCUAGGAUAGCACAAAAGGGAGGGAACCUUUGUUUGGUAAGCUUAAGUUAUGGUCCUAUUUGCUCCCUCUUGAUCAAGGUAUAUAUCGCGGACACUAGUACUGAUUUGAGUAGCUUCAGUUCUUGGAAGAAUGAGUUCAAUGUGACUGCUCCUAAUAUGGCUUACAAUAUAAGCAUAAAAAAUGCGUGGUCCGUCUCCAUAGUUACUGAUGACAUGUUGGUGAUUCGAAGAAUGUUCACGGUGGAUCAUCUAAUCUUUAUUGAUGUACCAACUGGAAUGAUGUUGAGUAGCUAUUGUCUGUAUACCUCUGUAGGUUUUAUCCCUUAUGUACCAAGUUUGGUGUCUCUUUCCCAUCGCCCCCCGCCACUUUUGAACCCUUCUGUUACGUCCUAGACUCUUUAAAUUUUUUAUCCCUUAUGUACCAAGUUUGGUGUCUCUUUCCCAUCGCCCCCGCCACUUUUGAACUCAAAGAUAUUAAUAAAGACUGUAUUGACAAGUAAAAAACACUUAAACUAAGAGUGAUGUUUUACCUUCAACAAGCAAACAAGAUUUUGCUUGCUCCAAUUUACUGAUCAUUUCGAAAAGGUCAGAUUGACCGGUACUUCUUUCUUUUAGUUUAUUUAGUAUUUCAUCUAUUUGAAACUUCAAUUGGUCCAUAGAGAAUCUAGAAAAGGAAAAAAAAAGAUGGAAGGAUACAAACUAGUCAAUCUUUGGCCAUUCUAAAAUUAAAAAAGUAUGUUCAUGUUGGUAAAAGAAAGAAACAGAAUGCUUCAAUUCAUAUUGCAAACAGUAACUCAUAACUAAACAUAUAAUUGAAACCGCAGCUGAUACAAACUCAGAUCCCAUCAAUGAAACAGUAGCAUGCACACACUGUUCCGAUCCCUGAUGUUGAAGAUAAUCCAGACAGAUCCUAACUGAGCUGGGUUAAACUGAGUUAUGCAUAAGAAACACUUAUUGUAUCUAUAACUUUUCAUAAUUUUCUAGUGCAAUUCGAAAAACACAAUACCAUAACUCUUGAAUGUAAUAAGAAAAGUUAGAGAUGAACUUCAACUGUAUUUAAAUUUUAAGAAAAAAUAAAACACAAUUCAAUCAUAUUUCACUAAUAUAUUUAUGCAAAUUUUUUCUCAAAAUAUAUUAUCUUAUCGAAAUUGAUGAUUCUUUUUCAUUGAGCCAAAUCAAAAUCGAAAAAAAAUAAUAUUAUUUUAGAGAAAUUUUCAAUUUAUCGAGUAUUAAUUUAGUGAACUUAUUGACUAUCUAUUUGGAAAUUAAUCUAGAAAUUGAUUAGUAAUAUUAUUAUAUUUUUAACGGAAUGUAAUUAUACAAUAUUACAAAUAACAUUUUUGUCUUGUCCAUUAUUAUUUUUAAUUAAGUAUGAACUUAAAAAGUGUAAUUAUAUUAUUUAAUUCUCCAAACAUGGUUAGAAUUAAUGGUGAUAAAAUUCCCCUCAAAUAUAUUAAUACAAUUUCAUUUUUCUAAAAGAUAAAUCACCUUGAAAAUUGUGACACUAUAAAUACAGUAUUCUCUUGUUUCCUUUUUUAAAAUUAUUCAUCUCCGCCGUGACCCGAUCGGAAUUGCCACCAUCACAGCCCUUACACCGCCGCAAGCGUAAUAUUCUCGCCGGCGGGGCGAAUUUUUACCGGGAAGUCUACCGAAAAUGUCAUCGAGGGUGUCGGUAACAGUUUCACAAGACGGAACUUGUGAUUACAGGACUGUGCAAGAAGCCAUAGACGCCGUUCCACUAUCAAAUAAGUGUCGCACUGUGAUUCGUGUAGCGCCUGGUGUUUAUAAGCAGCCAAUUUAUGUCCCGAAGACGAAAAAUUACAUUACACUUGUUGGGCUUAGUCCUGAAGCUACUGUUCUCACCUGGAAUAAUACUGCCACUAAAAUUGAUCACCAUCAGGUACAUUUUUCUGCUUUUUUGCUUCUUUUUAUGUUUUAAAUUUUUAGAGAACGAAGAUUUAUGCUUAAUUGUUUGGGUUUAACUCUCACCGUCAUAAAAAAAUGUUUUUUUUUUUGUAUGGCAUUUUUGGUGGAGUAUUAUAUACGUGAUAGAUGUAGUGACUAGUGAGUACAUAAUGAAACCAGCAGGGGUUGUAGCGGAGUAUUGGAGCGGUAAGUACUCCUUCAUUCAUAACUAGAAAUCUGUGGUUGGAGCCUCGGCUAUGGAGUCACUUUGUUAGGGAGUGCUAAACUUCAUGGCAUGAAUCCGGAUCUAUCCAGACACCAAUUGAUCGUACUGGACAGUGGGAAACAAAAAAGUAGUAGAGGUAUCAAUUUUUAAUAGCAUACAGGGUCAUGAUGAAAUGCAUAAAGAAAUUCAUAAAAGUGUCGAUCUUUAACUGUUUUAGCUUUUGGUUGAAUAGAGCAAUUUAACUCAGGGAUAUGUUAGAGAGAUAGCUAGGUUAAAUAAGUGUCUAUCUUGGCGGCUGACGCCCAAGGGUGUGGUCUAGUGGUAAAUAAAGUGGGUUGAACAUCAUGAUGUCUCAGGCUCGAAUUGACAAAAUAGCUCGGUCCGGACAUCACAGUUGUCAAAAAUUAAGAGAAGUGUCUAUCUUUAUAAUUUGAGCUUUUAGAUGAAAUGAUUUAUUCCAUCUGUGCAUGUUAUACACGUGAUGGACGUGUUGAAGACAUAAGUAUGUAUAAAGUUGUAGCUUUAAAUGAAACAGAAGAAUUGGCCGUUAAAUAGUGAUAGACGGUGUAAAACAUAAUUAAGUAGAAAGUUUAAUUUUUAACGGUUUAAGAUUUUAGAUGAAACAUUCAAACACUCUUCAACGUCAUCUUUCCUCCAUAUGUGUAUUAUUGUGUAAUUAGGUUCUUUGUGUUCAUUUUAUCUGAUAAUUAGGCAGCAAGGUUAAUUGGUACUGGUACAUUUGGGUGUGGGAGUACAAUAGUGGAAGGAGAGGAUUUUAUUGCUGAGAACAUCACCUUUGAAACUCUGCUCCUGAGGUACUGUAUAUUUUCUUUUCCUCUUUGCCCUUCCAAAUGGUGCAUGUAAAUUCAUCUUGCUCCUUUCUUUUUGGUUUUCUGCAACAGGGAUCAGGACAGGCAGUGGCAAUCAGAGUUACAGCUGACUCCUCUAUCCAGUUUAUAUGGCAGCAUUUCUUUUGGCAUUUGAUCCAGAAAGAAUGACAGCUUUUAAAUUUGAGAACUAUUUAACGUGAACUUUUCAUUUUAUCCUCAGGGACGAAGCUUUUAUAGCUAGAACAUUUUAGGUGUGGAAUGAAAGUUUAGGUGUUGCAAACAUAACUUCUUUUUUUGGAUAAAGAAUGUAGCAAGCAUAACUUCUGAAAAUCAUACUUCGAUAUUAUAGAUGGGAGUUUUCUGUGAUGUUUCCUGGAAACUUGAAGGGUUGACACAUUUUUCUGUCUCAUCUGUCGAGGAAAACUCUGUUCUUGAGUAGGGUGAAAGAGCUUCGUGUCUUGAUGAUUUUUGACCUGGACUGCUCUUCUGUUCUGUGUCUCAGUCAAAAUAUGUCUUAGAACUGUAGUAACUUGCUGCUUAAGAGAGGUUUACCCUUUUCCACCAUGCCUCAAUUAGAUAAAUUGUAGCUUUAGGUAUGGCCGUAUGGGGUGUUAUAGAAAAUAUAAUUUGAUUUUAUUACUCUUGCUUGUGUCAAGGCAUCAUUACGAUCUCUGUCCAUUGUUCAUUCAAUGUAAAUUAUUCUUGAAAUUCUCCCAUUAAAAAGCUCUUUUUAGGUUAUGAUGACGCCACAUCCUCAAUCUUGUUGAAGUUUCACUUAGUGAGUGAUCAGUUUAAAUUAAACUCAUCUUUCAAUCAGCUUUAUUGUGAAAGAUAAAUAGAAACUUUUAAUAUAGAGCGUCAUCUUGGUUGAUAAGCCUAAUAUUGAGCUUACCUCAGCUGCAGAAUAUUGAGGUUGUACUUGUACCUCACACUGGUGUCUGGUUCACUAAAGAAUUCAAUGUCUAGAUUAAUAUUUAGAGACUUUUUCUCUUCAAUUUCCAUUUUUCAUGUUGAAUUUUGUCAUUCUUUUGAAACAUUUUUUCCUAUGCAGAUGUGUGAUCACUGGUAGCGGAGCGACCUCAUAUACACAUCUUGGACGCCCAUGGGGGCCUUUUGGGAGGGUGGUUUUUGCCUAUUGUUAUAUGGAUCACUGUAUUAAGCAUGUCGGUUGGAACAACUGGGGUAAAACAGAAAAUGAGAGAACUGCUUGCUUCUAUGAGUACCGGUUAGUCAUCUGAAAUCGUUAAUUUACAACAAGAUUCUAAUGAUCAUACUAACUUCUAUUUCGUAGAACAUUUUACUCAUAUACUGCAUACUUUAGACUAAGGUAGGAAUUCUGAUCCGUCUUAAAUCCUCUCUAGGGACAAAUCUCGAUAAGAAGUGUGUGAGUUGAUUUAUGAAAGAAGCCAACAUUAAGAUACCAUCUCUGAGGCAGUUAUCUUAUUGUUGAAACUAUUGCAGGUGUUAUGGACCGGGUAGUUGCCCGUCAAAACGUGUCACCUGGGCCAGAGAAUUGAUGGAUGAAGAAGCAGAACAAUUUGUCAUGCAUGGCUUCAUUGAUCCUGAUCAACAAAGCCCUUGGCUGUGUCAGAGGAUGGCGCUGCGCAUACCAUAUUCAGCUUAAAGCCCAGUGUCUCGCCACUACCUCGUUAGAUAUCCUUUUGCAGAUCAAUACUUUAAAGUUUCCGCUUUAAUCUUGAUAUUCCACGCGAUAUAAAUAAAAACUUUAGUGGCUAUGUUGCUUUUGUUAUUGUACCAAGUUAACUAAAGCUUCUGGGAGAGUAUCUUCUACUACUAUGAAGAUCAUUUUCGACUUCACCGUUAGGAGUUCCUCCAUAUAGAAGCUAUGGUGGUCGAGAUGGUAAAUGUUUACACACACUUGAUGUUUACACCAAACUACGUUAAUUUUAC
rnacentral:lncRNA from 1 species